NNNNGUCCCCUUCCUCCCUCACCACUCCAUGUGCGUCCCUCCUGAAGCGCUCGGUGGAAGAGGAUGGCCUUCCCCGAAUAGAGACAGACAGGUCCUUGGUCGAAGGUAGCUGCACUGUCCUGCUAGAACCUCCAAACAAGCUCUCAAGAUAACAGGGGUAUACUUUCAUACAGUUCUCACCACCAGAGUUCUGUGUCCCAUUCUCUCCACUGGGAACUUCU
rnacentral:snRNA from 1 species